CGAAGACCCGGAGUGAGUGAAGGACCCACCGCCGAAGACUCGGAGCGCCGCCCAGCCUCAAAUCCCAUCACAGAGAAGGCUACAUCUUCUGGAUGGAUGGGAUACUCUCCAGAAGCCAUAAGUGAUUAGACAUUGGAGCAAAUUGAGGCUUAGCAUCUCACCAACCUAGUUAAGAAAGGUUACAGACCUCUGCACCGACAAUUACAGCUCAUGCCAGGUACAGUUGCUCCAUUUUUUCACUAUACCCAGAGUAGCGUCUACAGGAAAUCAGUUGCUGCUCACUUGUCCUCAGCUACCCAGCCCUAUCAGAUGUUAGAGCAG